rnacentral:rRNA from 1 species
UACGUAGGGUGCAAGCGUUGUCCGGAAUUAUUGGGCGUAAAGAGCUCGUAGGCGGUUUGUCGCGUCUGCCGUGAAAGUCCGGGGCUCAACUCCGGAUCUGCGGUGGGUACGGGCAGACUAGAGUGAUGUAGGGGAGACUGGAAUUCCUGGUGUAGCGGUGGAAUGCGCAGAUAUCAGGAGGAACACCGAUGGCGAAGGCAGAUCUCUGGGCCGUAACUGACGCUGAGGAGCGAAAGCGUGGGGAGCGAACAGG